rnacentral:rRNA from 1 species
GAAAGACCCCGUGAACCUUUACUAUAGCUUGACACUGAACAUUGAGCCUUGAUGUGUAGGAUAGGUGGGAGGCUUUGAAGCGUGGACGCCAGUCUGCGUGGAGCCGACCUUGAAAUACCACCCUUUAAUGUUUGAUGUUCUAACGUGGACCCGUGAUCCGGGUUGCGGACAGUGUCUGGUGGGUAGUUUGACUGGGGCGGUCUCCUCCUAAAGAGUAACGGAGGAGCACGAAGGUUGGCUAAUCCUGGUCGGACAUCAGGAGGUUAGUGCAAUGGCAUAAGCCAGCUUGACUGCGAGCGUGACGGCGCGAGCAGGUGCGAAAGCAGGUCAUAGUGAUCCGGUGGUUCUGAAUGGAAGGGCCAUCGCUCAACGGAUAAAAGGUACUCCGGGGAUAACAGGCUGAUACCGCCCAAGAGUUCAUAUCGACGGCGGUGUUUGGCACCUCGAUGUCGGCUCAUCACAUCCUGGGGCUGAAGUAGGUCCCAAGGGUAUGGCUGUUCGCCAUUUAAAGUGGUACGCGAGCUGGGUUUAGAACGUCGUGAGACAGUUCGGUCCCUAUCUGCCGUGGGCGCUGGAGAACUGAGGGGGGCUGCUCCUAGUACGAGAGGACCGGAGUGGACGCAUCACUGGUGUUCGGGUUGUCAUGCCAAUGGCACUGCCCGGUAGCUAAAUGCGGAAGAGAUAAGUGCUGAAAGCAUCUAAGCACGAAACUUGCCCCGAG